CCUACGGGUGGCAGCAGUGGGGAAUAUUGGACAAUGGGGGGAACCCUGAUCCAGCCAUGCCGCGUGUGUGAAGAAGGCCCUCGGGUUGUAAAGCACUUUCAGUGAGGAAGAACGCCUGGUGGUUAAUACCCAUCAGGAAAGACAUCACUCACAGAAGAAGCACCGGCUAACUCCGUGCCAGCAGCCGCGGUAAUACGGAGGGUGCGAGCGUUAAUCGGAAUUACUGGGCGUAAAGCGCGCGUAGGUGGCUUGAUAAGCCGGUUGUGAAAGCCCCGGGCUCAACCUGGGAACGGCAUCCGGAACUGUCAAGCUAGAGUGCAGGAGAGGAAGGUAGAAUUCCCGGUGUAGCGGUGAAAUGCGUAGAGAUCGGGAGGAAUACCAGUGGCGAAGGCGGCCUUCUGGACUGACACUGACACUGAGGUGCGAAAGCGUGGGUAGCAAACAGGAUUAGAUACCCUUGUAGUA
rnacentral:rRNA from 1 species